CACGGGGGGAGCAAGCGUUGUUCGGAAUCACUGGGCGUAAAGGGCGUGUAGGCGGUCAGGUAAGUGGGAUGUGAAAUGCCCCGGCUCACCCGGGGAUCUGCAUUCCAAACUGCUUGGCUUGAGUAUGGGAGAGGAUGAGGGAAUUCCUGGUGUAGCGGUGAAAUGCGUAGAUAUCAGGAGGAACACCGGUGGCGAAGGCGCUCAUCUGGCCCAAUACUGACGCUGAGGCGCGAAAGCUAGGGGAGCAAAC
rnacentral:rRNA from 1 species